ACGCAUUUGCCCGGCCUGGCUCAUAUUUUUCUCGGCAAUGGCAGCCAUGGGGCCUCAAAUUUCUGGGCAAGGCUCACAAUUUCCUAGGCAUGAUCAGGCCUAGGCACCAAAUUGCCCAGCCAUGGCAAUUUCUCGGCAAUUGCCCAGCCAUGGUUCCAGUUCCUCGGCAAUGGCACCAUUUCCCCGGCAAUGGCCAGCCAUGCCACUCAUUUGCCCCGGACAAUGCCUUAAAUUUCUCGGCAAUGGGAAGCCAUGGCCCAAUUUUCUAGGCAAUGGCACAACAUUUCUUGGCAAUGGGCAGCCAUGGCUAAAAUUUCUGAGCAAUGGCUCCCAUUUGCCCGGCCAUGGCUCAGAUUUCUCGGCAAUGGGCAGCCAUGGCCCAAUUUUCUAGGCAAUGGCACAAAAUUUCUCGGCAAUGGGCAGCCAUGGCUCAAAUUUCUGGGCAAUGGCUCACAAUUUCUCGGCAAUGGGCGGCCAUGGCACACAUUUGCCCAGCCAUGGCUCAGAUUUCUCGGCAAUGGGCAGCCAUGGCCCAAUUUUCUCGGCAAUGGAACAACAUUUCUCGGCAAUGGCCAGCCAU
rnacentral:lncRNA from 1 species